ACGUUGUGGCGGAGGCAGCGACCGACCAACCAAGCGACCAGGCUGUUCCAGGUCCAUCGGGAUACUCGACGAAGUGUCUUCUUUCCUGUACUAAAUUAUUUUCAUCGCUGGGGUGUUGGCUCAUUGUUUUUACAGGUUGAAGCUGAGGGCAUCAGAUGUCGCGUCUGUGAAGAGCAAUGGAGGAGUAGUGAUUAUAAACUGUAAUUUUGAACUGUGCAUUUGGUGAUUAUAGUUUCAGUGUAAUUGUGACUUGUCUUUGUGUUUGUAGUUAAAUUGUAAUUGUGAACUGUGCAUUUGAGUAUAUUAUAAAUUUUAAUUGUAUAUUGUAACAUCCCACCCUCCUCUGCCAUCCUGAUCUGGGUCUUCCAUGGUUUCCCCAGAUAGUGUCAGGCGAAUGCCAGGAUGGGUCCCUAAGUCCAUGGCAGUUGUUCCAAUACCCUUUGUAUGCUUAUUUAUAAUAUUGGAACAAUUAAAGUGUUAAAAAAAUGAAA